UACGGAGGAUCCAAGCGUUUAUCCGGAAUCAUUGGGUUUAAAGGGUCCGUAGGCGGCCUUAUAAGUCAGUGGUGAAAUCUCCCGGCUCAACCGGGAAAUUGCCAUUGAUACUGUAGGGCUUGAAUUAUUAGGAAGUAACUAGAAUAUGUAGUGUAGCGGUGAAAUGCUUAGAGAUUACAUGGAAUACCAAUUGCGAAGGCAGGUUACUACUAAUGGAUUGACGCUGAUGGACGAAAGCGUGGGUAGCGAACAGG
rnacentral:rRNA from 1 species